rnacentral:rRNA from 1 species
GACGAACGCUGGCGGCGUGCUUAACACAUGCAAGUCGAACGAAGAGCGAUGGAAGCUUGCUUCUAUCAAUCUUAGUGGCGAACGGGUGAGUAACGCGUAAUCAACCUGCCCUUCAGAGGGGGACAACAGUUGAAAACGACUGCUAAUACCGCAUACGAUCUAAUCUCGGCAUCGAGGAUAGAUGAAAGGUGGCCUCUACAUGUAAGCUAUCACUGAAGGAGGGGAUUGCGUCUGAUUAGCUAGUUGGAGGGGUAACGGCCCACCAAGGCGAUGAUCAGUAGCCGGUCUGAGAGGAUGAACGGCCACAUUGGGACUGAGACACGGCCCAGACUCCUACGGGAGGCAGCAGUGGGGAAUCUUCCGCAAUAGACGAAAGUCUGACGGAGCAACGCCGCGUGAGCGAUGACGGCCUUCGGGUUGUAAAGCUCUGUUAAUCGGGACGAAAGGCCUUCUUGCGAAUAGUGAGAAGGAUUGACGGUACCGGAAUAGAAAGCCACGGCUAACUACGUG